rnacentral:rRNA from 1 species
GACGAACGCUGGCGGCGUGCCUAAUACAUGCAAGUAGAACGCUGAAGGAGGAGCUUGCUUCUCUGGAUGAGUUGCGAACGGGUGAGUAACGCGUAGGUAACCUGCCUGGUAGCGGGGGAUAACUAUUGGAAACGAUAGCUAAUACCGCAUAAUAGUAGAUGUUGCAUGACAUUUGCUUAAAAGGUGCAAUUGCAUCACUACCAGAUGGACCUGCGUUGUAUUAGCUAGUUGGUGAGGUAACGGCUCACCAAGGCGACGAUACAUAGCCGACCUGAGAGGGUGAUCGGCCACACUGGGACUGAGACACGGCCCAGACUCCUACGGGAGGCAGCAGUAGGGAAUCUUCGGCAAUGGACGGAAGUCUGACCGAGCAACGCCGCGUGAGUGAAGAAGGUUUUCGGAUCGUAAAGCUCUGUUGUAAGAGGAGAACGAGUGUGAGAGUGGAAAGUUCACACUGUGACGGUAUCUGACCAGAAAGGGACGGCUAACUACGUG